UACGAAGGGGCUAGCGUUGCUCGGAAUCACUGGGCGUAAAGCGCACGUAGGCGGAUUGUUAAGUCAGGGGUGAAAUCCUGGAGCUCAACUCCAGAACUGCCUUUGAUACUGGCGAUCUCGAGUCCGGGAGAGGUGAGUGGAACUGCGAGUGUAGAGGUGAAAUUCGUAGAUAUUCGCAAGAACACCAGUGGCGAAGGCGGCUCACUGGCCCGGUACUGACGCUGAGGUGCGAAAGCGUGGGGAGCAACAGG
rnacentral:rRNA from 1 species